GGUUCUUUAGAAGUAGCUGGUGCCCAUUACUGGUUCUUUAGAAGUAGCUGGUGCCCAUUACUGGUGCUUUAGAAGUAGCUGGUGCCCAUUACUGGUGCUUUAGAAGUAGCUGGUGCCCAUUACUGGUGCUUUAGAAGUAGCUGGUGCCCAUUACUGGUGCUUUAGAAGUAGGCACAGGAGUAGAGAGAAUUCAUGUUGUGUUGCUGUGCAGCAUUUAUUGAUGCCAGUGUCUUGACCCACAAUAUAUCCAUUGAAUAUAAUUACAUAACACAAGAAUUGGUCCUCAAUCAUACGCUCCACUGCAGUUGACAGGUGUCCCCGUUUGCCUAAAUUUCCACUAGAAGCAAUGUUCUUUAGUUCGCCGUUUCCAUAACAAUAUUUGCACAAUCCAUUAAGAGUAACAACGCGGUCGUGACUGUUUUGUUGCAAUCCUAAUGUGCCUGGCGUGUCGGAUUGGAGGCGAUUCAUAGACGCGGGCAGGUGACAGGGACGCUCUGUGCGCUCAUAUCAAAGGGCCGUAUUGUUUACUUGCCAUAUUAACCUGGGGAGCUGGAUGAACUCAAUUGGAACAUUCACUUGAAAAGUCAUAAAACUUUCAGCACCUGGAAGGAGAACCCGGCCGUGAGGUAUGUAAAUAUUAUUCAUGGCGGCGUACGAGUACGAUCAUCUGUUUAUGUUUUCUAGGGCGAAUCCAUUGUUAUGAGGAAGAUGCAAACAUAAAGCCUGAGAGAAAAAUUCUGGCUGGGACCGGAUUUAACUACCUGGGAUUAGACUAUUCCAAUUGGACUGACCUUCCAGGAGGAGAACGAUGAUGUAAUAAAUGGACCAGUCAUGAACCCCAUCUCAACUUUAUUGUUCAGUAACAUUGCUGCGGUGACCGGAUCAUUGACUGCAGAUAGGAGGUUCUUGCACUCACAGGGAAUAAUCCAGUAUGUCUAUGGAGUCACAAUAUUUAUACAGAUUAUACGGAUAGAACGAAUGCCCAACCUGGCACCAGAAACGAGUGGUGAGGAAAUCUCUUACACUCGGCUCACCACAUGAGGAG